AGCCGGUCAACUGGGGGUCUGGAGGCUCGAUCUAGCCCAGUUAUUUUAUUUGCUGCGUUUCAGACGUGAGGAAGGGGUUGGUGGUGGUGGUGGUGAUAACACCGUGAUGCUGAUAUUAAGAUACCUCAUGAGAUACCUGAUCAGGGAAGGAGAAGGAGAGAGUGUGCUUUUGGAUGGAUGAAGAUCUAGAUCGCGAAAACGAUACUACAGUAGCUACACUACAAUAUGUACCGUACUCGUGUCUGUCAUUAGUCCAACUAAGCCUUCUGACAGCCUUGUGUUAUUAUGAUGCCUAUUUGUAGCAUUUUUGAGUGACAAGUAAUAUAAAACACCAUGAUUCACUCGCUUUUGUCGCUCGCUUCACUGGCUCUGGCCCAGGUCCAGCUUGCCUCUCCUAUCUCCUCUUUGACUCUUGACUUCUAGGAUGCCGACGUUGUUGAACAAACCGGCUCCGACGUGCUUGAGAUCUUGCUCGACUUUGGGCUCGAUGUAGCCACUGCAGCAUCUACUCAUCCGGGCGACUUUUUCGAGUUUGUUCUCGAUGGAGACAUCGAGACCUCCGCCUACAAUUUUGAGGUUGUUGACUCUUCUGGAACUCCAAUUUUUGACAUUGUCAACGUUGACAAUUCUUUGACGUUUAGAGCCACUGCCACCGAUUACUUUCUCGAAAACACCCAAGCUCUUGAGGGGCAGAUUGUGACGAAGCGUUCUCUCUUAACAACGAAGCUGCUUCGGUGUCUGUGGGGGACCUCUCCGACAGUGUAGCUAUGCAGCUUACCAGCAUCUCUGACCCCAGCUUUAUGUUUGAAAAGGCUUCCGACAGAGAGAUGGCGGUCGUCGUUUUGCUCCCGGUUGAGGAGGGCGCCACAUUUUCGUUUGGUUACACGCUUGGGGAAGGUCUCGGUUUUCCCAGUGACUCAGAGCCGGUCCAAAUCACGUAUGUGGACAUCACCCGUUCAGACUUAGGCAUGCCCAAUAUUCAAGUGCAAGACCUGUCUUUGGUUUCUCCGUCCUCAAUCUCUGUGACCAUCGCCAAUGUUCCAGGAGCCCUGUCCAUUCUGUUCUGGUAGCUUAUGUGGUGGACAUUAUGGACUUGCAGCAGUCCACCUUUUGUGCCACUAUAGAACGGGAUGGUCAAGAGCCUCAGAGCGCCUGUCGGGGUCUCGGAAGUGGCCCUAACGGUUCACCCAGCGGUUUCAGAUCUGCUGUUGCUGUUGCUGAGGAGGUAGAGACUUCUACUACGUCUGCUGCUACGUCUGCUGAAGAGACUUGCACUACGUUUGCUGAUGAGACUUCAACUACGUUUGCUGAUGAAACCUCGACUACGUUUGCUGAGGAGACCUCGACCACGUUUGUUGAGGAGACCUCCACUACGUCCGCUGAAGAGUCCGCUGAUACCUCCGCUGAAACCUCUGCCGAGUCUACUGCAGACACUUCCGCCACAUGAGCUACAGACGCUUCCGCCACAGGAGCUGCCACCGGAGCUGACUCCACUUCUGGAACUGUCGAAGAGUCCGCCUCUGUCUCUUCUCAGUCCGCAGCCUCUGCUGAAGCUUCUGCUACAGCUUCUUCAGAGAUUGUCCCCAUCUCUGGCUUCUCUUCUGCCACUUCCAUUGCUGGAAACCUGUCUUCCGCAUCGGACCUCGCUGACGUGACUGAAAUCGUUUCUACCACCAUCACCACCACACAGACUGCCACUUACUGCAAGGACGGAACUUGUGGCAAUACUGUCGUUGUUCUGACAACCUGUGUUCCUGUCCACCACACCGUCACCACCUGUCCCACUGUGAUCGAGGGCAAGACCUUGACCGUGCUUGUCCCUUGUGAGAUUGAGACUGGAGAUGCUGUUACCACUACUGAGAUUGUUCUCAAGCCCACUGAGACUGUUUCGAAGCCCAUUAAGACUGUUGCCAAGGCGACUGAGACCGUUUCUAAGCCUAUUAAGGCCGGAACUACUACUGUCGUCACCAUCCUUGAUAGCUCUUCUAUUAUGCCUGUGCCCGUCUCCACAGGUCUGAUUACUCACUACCACCAUUACCGGAACCCUUAUAGUUACUGGAACUAUUGUUACCUUGACUUCUGCCCGGCCUAUCGUGCCUCAAGUCGACUCUGUUCCCUCAGUUGUCCCUCAGGCUAACGCUGGGUCCAAGUUGACUUUUGGACCGCUCGCUCUUCUUCCUUUCCUAAUGGUGUAAGGAAUGUGAGAGAUUUACGA
rnacentral:misc_RNA from 1 species